AUUGAACGCUGGCGGCAUGCCUUACACAUGCAAGUCGAACGGCAGCACGGGAGCAAUCCUGGUGGCGAGUGGCGAACGGGUGAGUAAUAUAUCGGAACGUGCCCAGUCGUGGGGGAUAACGUAGCGAAAGCUACGCUAAUACCGCAUACGAUCUACGGAUGAAAGCGGGGGAUCGCAAGACCUCGCGCGAUUGGAGCGGCCGAUAUCAGAUUAGCUAGUUGGUGGGGUAAAAGCUCACCAAGGCGACGAUCUGUAGCUGGUCUGAGAGGACGACCAGCCACACUGGAACUGAGACACGGUCCAGACUCCUACGGGAGGCAGCAGUGGGGAAUUUUGGACAAUGGGCGCAAGCCUGAUCCAGCAAUGCCGCGUGCAGGAUGAAGGCCUUCGGUUGUAACUAGCUUUGUACGGUAACGAAACGGUAGAGCUCUAAUAAAGACUUGCUAAUGACGGUACCGUAACGAAUAAGACACCGGCUAACU
rnacentral:rRNA from 1 species